rnacentral:rRNA from 1 species
AUUGAACGCUGGCGGCAUGCCUUACACAUGCAAGUCAAACGGUAACAGGUCUUCGGAUGCUGACGAGUGGCGAACGGGUGAGUAAUACAUCGGAACGUGCCUAGUAGUGGGGGAUAACUACUCGAAAGAGUGGCUAAUACCGCAUGAGAUCUACGGAUGAAAGCAGGGGAUCGCAAGACCUUGUGCUACUAGAGCGGCCGAUGGCAGAUUAGGUAGUUGGUGGGAUAAAAGCUUACCAAGGCGACGAUCCGUAGCUGGUCUGAGAGGAUGAUCAGCCAAACUGGGACUGAGACACGGCCCAGACUCCUACGGGAGGCAGCAGUGGGGAAUUUUGGACAAUGGGCGAAGGCCUGAUCCAGCAAUGCCGCGUGCAGGAUGAAGGCCUUCGGGUUGUAAACUGCUUUUGUACGGAACGAAAAGCCCUGGGUUAAUACCCUGGGGUCAUGACGGUACCGUAAGAAUAAGCACCGGCUAACUACGUGCCAGCCGCCGCCGUAACAC